rnacentral:tRNA from 1 species
UAUGUAGCUUAAUGGAUAGAGCGUUCGCCUCCGGAGCGAAUAGCGUGGGUUCGAUUCCCAUCAUA